GAUGAACGCUGGCGGCGUGCCUAAUACAUGCAAGUCGAGCGAACAGACGAGGAGCUUGCUCCUCUGACGUUAGCGGCGGACGGGUGAGUAACACGUGGAUAACCUACCUAUAAGACUGGGAUAACUUCGGGAAACCGGAGCUAAUACCGGAUAAUAUAUUGAACCGCAUGGUUCAAUAGUGAAAGACGGUUUUGCUGUCACUUAUAGAUGGAUCCGCGCCGCAUUAGCUAGUUGGUAAGGUAACGGCUUACCAAGGCAACGAUGCGUAGCCGACCUGAGAGGGGGAUCGGCCACACGGGAACUGAGACACGGUCCAGACUCCUACGGGAGGCAGCAGUAGGGAAUGUUCCGCAAUGGGCGAAAGCCUGACGGAGCAACGCCGCGUGAGUGAUGAAGGUCUUCGGAUCGUAAAACUCUGUUAUUAGGGAAGAACAAAUGUGUAAGUAACUAUGCACGUCUUGACGGUACCUAAUCAGAAAGCCACGGCUAACUACGUG
rnacentral:rRNA from 1 species